rnacentral:lncRNA from 1 species
GGAAAUUUUCCGUCUCCAAUUCCAAAAAUGUCGUCGUGCUGCGGUGGUAAAUGUGGUUGCGGGUCCGGCUGCAGCUGCGGCAGUGGCUGCAACGGGUAAUCUUUCUACCUCUCUGUUUGUUUUCCGAGAAUCUGGAAAAAAGAAAAUCCCAGAAAAUUUCUGCUCUGAUUUGGGUUUUUGACUACAUGGGUUUUUGUUCAGGUGUGGGAUGGCUCCUGAUCUGAGCUACAUGGAGGGGUCCACCACUGAGACCCUCGUGAUGGGAGUUGCUCCCCAGAAGUCGUACGUAUUCUCAUCUCUCAGAAAUGAGAUCCCAAAUUAUUUUUGAAAUAUGUAAUUUGCAGAUUUUGUGGUUAUAAUUUUGGGAGACACGGAGAAACAGAAGUAGAUGGACACCAAACCGACAAUAAAAGUUUUAAAACGACAAUAAAAGGGAAAAGGACUCCGAUCCCUUCCUCCAAUUCAAAUCAGGAAAUUUAUGAUGUUGAAAUUUUUUUCUUUACUAAUUAAUGAAAUCUUUUUGUCAAUCAAAAAAUGAAAGAUAAAUUAGUUUUUUGUUACAAAAAUAUGAUGGGUAAUAAUGUAAUUUUAAAGGUUUAAAUUUUAUUAUUUUUAUUGAAAUAUUACUUGCCGAUGAUAUUAAAAUACCUUUAAUAUUAUAUAAAAAAAUAACCAAAAAAUACCUUCCCAACUCUCCCAGUUCUCUCUCUCUCCUAUUUUUUUUUAAAUGUGUUCAUACAUAUAAAUUGCAAGUAAAUAUUAGUAAUUUUUAAAGUGAGUUUCUGUUUGUAAUCGUUGAAUCUGUAAGGAUUUUCUGAUUUGAUGAUUAGGAGAAAGGGAUAUGCGGAGUGGAUUUAUUCCCAGUAAAAGGAAACAAAAUCAUGAUUUAUGUACGGUUUAUUGUCUGUUUAACAUAAGUUAAAUUUGUCUUUGUUUUGUUUUUAUUGAAACCGCGAUCGGUAUGAUUUAGGGAAGCAUGGAGAGAGAAAGCAUCAUUUAUACACUGACUUAUUGUCUGUUUCGGAGCGCUGUAACAUUUGUUUUGUAAUUUUGAUGUGCAGUCACAUGGAGGCAUCUGAGAUGGGAGUUGCUGCCGAGAACGGAUGCAAGUGUGGAGACAACUGCACCUGCAACCCCUGCAACUGCAAGUGAGAGGGACAGAUGGCACCUUCUGAUGAAGCAAGAGAAUCGCGGGGCUUAUAUGUUUAGCAGUAAUAUAUGUAUGUGUGUGUGUCGUAAUCAUGAAUCAUGAUCCAAAUUUACGAAGGUCGUGUUUUUAGAAUAAAGUGGCCAUGGCUUCUUCUGAGCUGCACGUCCUACUAGGCUGGGAUCUGGUCCUAGGUUAUGGCUGCUUGUUGUCUGUUUGCUUUGUACAUGCAGUAGUCGUAUUUGUGUUUUUAUGUUCGUGUUAACUUGGUGGAUCGUAUUAUGUGUUUCUGAUGAAAUUAAUGAAAAACUUGCUCCAUCUUUUGCUUUAAUUUUUGGGUUAAUUGACAAGGAAAACGAGUGCAAUAAGUUCCAACAACAAAAGUUUCUAAGAUGUUCUGGGGAAAUUUGGAGUACAACAUAUUUCGAUGUUUUAACCUUUUAAGAAUUUGUCAAACAUCCAACGAUUAUCGGAGAAUUUGUGUAGAAAGUCGUAUAUAUGGAGGAGAAAAACACACAAGAAGAAUUAGAUUAGAUCUGUUACUAAUCCAAACAUUUUUAAAAAGGGAUUUUAACAAAAAAAAAAAAAUGGUAUUAUUUAUUUUAACGAAAAAUUAUAUUUUUAUAAUAAAAAAUUAAUAUUAGUACUAUUUAUUUUAUUUUUUUAUUUCGUAUUUAUCGUUAACUUAAAAUUUUUAAAUUAUUUUUAUUAGUUUUUUUUUUUUUAAAAAUAUUAACCAUCUAUUUGGGAUAAUAAUUUAGCCAUUAAUAAGACUCCAAAAAAAUAAUCAUCAAAGUAUUUGGAGAACCAUCAACCCUAUCCUUUAUUUCGUUCCAUGGUUAAAAAAAAAAAAAAGAACAAAAAAGCAGGAACUAGUGGUAAGCUAUGGUUAUUAACCUUUUUUUGGUCCGAAACCGGGAUUGUAAUUUUGUUAUGUCGGUGGUUACGAUCAAGCAGAUCUAACGGCUCGAAAUAUUUCACAUUUUUUCAAAACUCACCCAUCCAAUAUUUAUUGUAUGGUUGUGGUUCAACCACAUUUUUUUGUUGGAAACUCACCCUCGAUCUAAUAUUUAUUGUAUGGUUGUGGUUCACGUUACGCUUUGGACGGGCGAUGUCUUUAUGCUGGGAGCAGCAGCUUUUGGGCACUCCACAUGUUGGUCGAAAAAGUGUCACCGUGACAUCUCAUGUUAGUGUAACAUCUCGGUGAGGACAGUUUCAAUUGUCGAACGAAAAUAUGACGAAGCAUAAGUGCCUUGCCGUAUCAAUGACUCAGCAAUAAGGCUUUGUAAAUUUCAUUCAGUUCAAGAUUGUAACAACAAAUAGAUGGAAUUCAUUAGAAAUCAUGAAUAAUCUUCGUUGCUAGUUUACAAAUCAACACAAACAGGGUCUUUUCAGUCUUUUACAAUGACACGUCCAUAAGGUUUUACUUGGGCGAGAAAUUUCCGUAGAGCUGCCUUCUCACACGGGGUUUGACCAACUUGAGGUUGGAUAGAUUAAAAACUAAAAUACAGGAGGUUUUAGAGUUGGAGUUGACGUGGUCAGACACCCCUAUCCAAAUUUCACAUUUGCUUGACCUGUGAAAUAUCUGAGCAGCUGAGUGUUGCCUUUAUUUCCUUAUCAAGUACCCCUAUCGCUGCUUUGUUAAACAGGUUGACAAUCUGUUAAAAGAAAUUAAUUAGAGCAGAUUAGUAAUCAUUCAUCAUUCAACGGGGAAGGUUGUGGUGAAACUGUCUUCUGGGAUCACCUGCUUAGUUGAGAGGCCUAUUUUCUCCAAAUCGUUCAGCUGAAACAUGCAACGUUCAACAUCACAGUUACUCAAAAACUUAGUUCCAAUUUCGCUGUACCGUUCCAAUUUUAUCGGAUAGUCCAUGAAAAAACAAAUGUAAUUCAAGUUUCAUCUGUUCCUAAACCUUAAUAAACUUGCUUACCGAUUUUAAAGGGCUCGUUUCUCUGAGCUCGAGUAUGUAUUCAGCCAUUUUGACUCCUAUUCCCUGAUUGAUGAACGCGAGGGAAAAAGAAAGUAUCAGAAGGCAAGUAAUUAUUUUAAGAACACACAAAGAUGCAGCAUUUGAUAGGAACCUUUAGCUCCAGCAGCUCUUCCCUGCGGUUGAGAAAACCAGUCGAAAUAUUAGGUUCAUUUGGUAUGAUUGAGUGAAAAAUGCAAGAAACGAAAAAACGAAGAAGCUUCAAAGAGAUGAUAAGAUUUUUACCUGUUGGCUGUGUUCAAGAAGUCAAUAUAAUCUUGAAGUAGGAACUUCUGUGCAAUAAGCGAAAGAAAAACAGAUGAAAAUCACAUUAAAAAGCUAGAACUUAACUAAUAGAGUUGUACGUAAUGAUUGUACCUUCAAGUUUGAUCCGCAAGCAGUGAAUUUAUCAAGUGGGGUGCCUGUCCUUUGGAACAUGUUUUUCGUGCAGGUCGCUAAAGAGGGAGUUUUCGGAGUCUUUGGAUCAAAGAGUAGGGUGCAAUCUCCAUUUGUGAAUAAGGGUUCACUGAGGGGAUUUUGAUUUAUAUUGGUGUUGAUCGGGGAGAGAGCUUUUCUCAAGGAACUUUGAGGUGUGUUUUUCUUCCCGCUGACGGGUGAUGAGUCGUUUGCAAAGUUUUCCUCCUGGUUUGGUGGUUCAGCUAUGCAUAUAUACAAGAAAAUAGUGCAUUUAUUCAAUUUGUUUAGAGUGUUUGAAGGAGCAUAUUAAGUAAUAAAACCAUAUAGAGCUGAAACAUACCAGGUAAACUUGUAUUUGAUUUGAGAACGGAUCCACAAGCUCCAGCAUUGCCCACUUGUUUAUUAUCCUUAGCGGCGAAUUGCAGGCUCUGGAAAGCAAUUCCAACUCAUAAAUACACAAUGACAUAAACAUCAAACGCAAGAUAAACUAAUUCGGAAUGAAUUCAGUAGCUUCUCAUCCCCAAGUGGAACUGUUAAACUCAAACUUUCAAAUAAUAUGCCAUCUCAUGAAUAUCCUAAUGUGAUGAAUAAAGUUUCACAAUAGAGUAAGAAUAAGAAUAUAUUGAAUACACUAUAACGUAGUUCUAAUUUUAUCAUUUUCCAUCCAUGUACUCCCUAAAAUUUAGUAAUUACCUCCAAAUUGGAAUCAACUAGACUUUCAUUGUCGAUUAUGUUCCUGAUAGGUCUUUUGAUUGUCCUGCAAAAAAUUUCAACAAUCAAACAAAAGUGACUAAUGCAUAGCAUGAAGGAUAUACAAUUCAACUAGUUACUUGUCAUUGUACCUUUCUUUCACAGAGCAGGCGCUUCUGUUUGUAUUAACCUUGGAUUUCAUAGAACUGAGGUUGAUGCUGGGUUUCUUGACAUUAGCAAUAGAAGAACUUGGAGAUUUCCCCAACAAGGGAGAAUUGAAUGCUUCAAUUCUUCGCACACUCUUUGUCUUUCCUCUUGAUUCAAGCCAAGUACGGAGUUUGGCUUCCAUGUCAACUUUAACCUUCGGGGUCUCUUGCUUGUGAGCUGAAGGAACAAAGUUGGUAAUGUGGCGUGACCGAGCUGCCAAGCUGACAGUAUGAACAGACUCCUGGUACUCUCCUGGAUUCUAUUAUCAAAGAAAAUUGUUUCCAAUAUAAGUUUCAAAGAAAAAAAAAAGAUAAUAAUAAGUACAGGCCAGACGAAAGCACUUCUAUUCAAACGCUAAUUCAAACUUCUUACCAAGCAAGUAAUCAUCAAAGCCUGACUCAUCCCACCUAGUGAGUCUUGCAAAAUACGAGUCAAUUUACUCUCUCUAUAGGGCACUCGGGAUAAGUUGUUGUUCAGUGCAUAAAUGACAUUUGAUAAUGCAAACAAGGACUGGUUAAUCUUCGCACUCUCUUGGAGACGGAUCCCUUCGUUGCAAGUUCUUCUAUUAUCUUCAUUACCUGCUUGAAAUACACAUGUAGAUUAAAUAAAGAAAAGACAAAGAUCAUGUACUUUAUUUAUAGGGAAAAGUUUAGGAGUGAGAAAAGACCUGCUAAAUCUAUGAGAUUCAACUUCCCAGUAACAGCAUCCCCAGAACCAUCAUCAAGAGUUGAAACGGCAAUCACAAGGACACCAUGGCUCCUACUAGACACAUCAUUGAGACCUGUAUGGGCAGUUUUCCGCCUCUGAAUCCCACAAGAAAAGGCCUCAUAAAACUCAAACAUGGACUUUACAGGGACCCGAGACAGCCCCUUAAGAUGAACCUGCCCAUCUUUGUCAUCCAAAACCGUAAUUUCCUUGGCUUUGAUCUCUAACAGGUCAUAACACCUGUCCAUAUAGACCUCGUAGUAUGAUAGCUCAACUGAGCUUCCUGUGCUCUGGCACAUAGACAGGAUUUUGGACAUGGACAGCUCCAUUAGACCCGGCAUCUCAUCCGUGCCCUGGAACAUAAAAUCCCAUGCUGGAUUAACAUUACAGAAGAAAAUGCUUCAGAACAAACACUAAAAGCUGCAUUUAGUUACUUUUAACCUAUGCUAAUUCACAAAUUUCUUUUCUUUCUGGGGAUAAUUACAGAUGAUUAUCCAGAUUAAUGAUUUAUUAAUCAUAAAAUGCCUUCACUAAUGUUUCAUAUGGGUGGUCAGACGUUGGUGUAGCCACAUUGGGUAGAGCGGAUGUGCUCCCCCUCCCCGCAGUUUAGAUUAGUUUAAAAAUUAAAAUGGAACAUCGAUUAUGUAAAAAGAAACGAAAAAAAAAAGUUCAUAUCUUUGGAGAAUUCAAAUUCAAAACUGAAUUUUUGCCAAAAGAAGUAAAAAAAAUUUCAAACCUGUAUAGUGUAAGUCUUUCCACUUCCAGUAGCUCCGUAGGCGAACACCGUCGCAUUGCAGCCAUGAAAGAGUCCCGGAAUCAAGGGGCAAACUUCUCUACUGAAGAUCCGGCCAACAUUGUUAUCCUCCGGGGCAAAGAAGGAGUCUAACCGAUAGCACUCGUUUCGGCUACACCCCGAAAAACAAAAUCAGGAGUCACCAUCAAAACCCAGCUUCCCAAAUCAAGAAAGCCAAAAUUCAUCUCCGAAUUGGCUGACAGAAAAGCAAGAAAAUUACUCACCUUGUCACUUUAUCUUUGAGAUGAACAACCACUUCCUCGGUCGCAAACUCGGAUUCUUUUUCGAUAACGGAAGCGCACGGCGUCGGAUCUCUGUUACCGUCAGCGAUCUCUUGGGGAAGAAAAGGGCGCACCCGAGCGAUCACCCUGACCUUCGAAAUUGAACUGGGGUUCGUAGAUUUUGCUGGAGUUGCAGAAGAACUGUCAAGAGCUCGACCCACCUCCAUUGGAACAAAGGAAAGAGCUUUAGCUUGGAUUUCAAGUGAGAGAGAGAAUUGGGAAUUUGCAGAACGGUCUGUAACUGAAAGAUGGAGAUUAAGAGGAGGUCUGAAACUAUUUGUCGAACGUUGGGGCUUUUUCAGUUUGAAUUUUUGGAUUGGGUGCGGACUGUGCCGUUGGGCCUCGUGUGUGGUGGGGGCCUAUUUCUUACUCCUUCGGAAUGUUUGCUGUUUAGGAUGAGAGAUUUUUUAGUAUAACCGCUAUACGGAUGGGACGUGUUAUUAUACAAAUGAUGAGAUAUAAAUUUUUGUGUUUUGACUGUCGAACGUGGUUUGUACCCAUGUUGAGUCAAGUGACAUCUAAAUGUAGGAAGCCCAUUGUCGAACGUGGUUUGUACCCAUGUUGAGUCAAGUGACAUCUAAAUGUAGGAAGCCCAUUAUUUAUGAGCAAGUAGGACAGUGUAAUUAUACAAAUGAUGAGAUAUAAAUUUUUGUAUUUUGACUGUCGAACGUGGUUUGUACCCAUGUUGAGUCAAGUGACAUCUAAAUGUAGGAAGCCCAUUAUUUAUGAGCAAGUCGGACAGUGUAAUUAUUUCGACUAACACGUACAAGAACUAGUUCUUUUUUUUUUUUUUUGGGAGGGGGUGGGGUUAGCCUUACAAAGGGUUAGUAAAUAGUGUGGUUCAAAUUCGCUUUUAGCGAGAAUUGAACCUAAGACCUUUUAUUUAUAGGUGAAGGUGAAUACCACUAGAUCGUAGUACUAAGUGGCAUCAAUAACUACUUUCUAAACAAUGAUAAAUUCUUCCCCGUUGCUUGUUGAGAUCAAAUGAGGCCCAUAGUAAGUAUGGUCGUAUUGUCUUUGCAUUAGAAGAAAGACUUUUAUGAUAUAAGUAUACACUAUCUUGACAUUUGGUGUCAAUACUAUAAAAACAUGUGUAAAUUUUUAUUUAUAGCAUCGUAUCAUUAACAUAAUUUGUUGAUAGUAUAACUAGGAUUUGGAUUUCGGAUCCAAAUUGUAGGAAUUCUAGAAAUUCUCACAUCUUAAUUGUUUAUCGUACAUCAUGCAGUCAGAAAUUAUUUUGAAUUUAUUUAUUUAAAACUAAACAUAAAUAAUAAUGAACAUUAAAUGCACAAUAUACGAUAAACGAUCAUGAUGUAAGGAUUUCUGAAAACACCACAAAAAAGAUCCGGUGGAUUCUCAUCCGUAUAACCAUGCCAUCAAGUUGCUCUCAUGAAUUUUCGAAGUAAAAAAAGCUGCUCUCAUGAAUUUGGUUUGUAUAUGGGCCCCCACCAUGGACCCACAACUUGUAAGACAAAGCCGCAUAUGACCGGCGGAGGGAAACUCUCUCCCAACCAGGCCCAAAUGGCCCCCUCGUCAGAGUUUCAAUUACCCAAACGUUUGAGGACCUGUCAGCAAGGCGGCGCAAAUAUGUGAAGGGUUUUAGACAAAGACCGUAAUUGUAUAUGCGUUAAACCCUAAACCCCCAAAAUUGUGGGAAAUCACGAAGAUGGAGAAGGGCAUGCUGUCUGCAAACUUGGAGGGUCUUCCCGAAGAAGACAAGCACAGAAUGGCCACCUUGAUCGACCAACUCCAGAUUCGCGACAGGUUUUUCUGAUUUUUUUUUUAAAUGCAGUGUUUUUUUGUAAUUUGUUCUCAGUAAUUUGUGAUUAGUGAGGCAUGUUCUUGAUACGGUGCAUGAUAGAUUGAAGUCUUAGAAAAAUACCCACAAAAUUAAAUGGUUAAUUGUUAGCAGGAAAUUUGAAACUACGAUGUGAUUCCAAUGUAAUCAAGUAUAUGUUUUGAAAUUUUGAAAACCGAACCGAACCGGAUAUAUGUCUUGGGUUUGGCUCAUGGUUUUGAUGAUGAACUGGCCCAAACCGAACUGUGCCCAUCCCUACUGAUUUCGGUUGUGUUUGUCCAAAAAAUGCAGUCUGAGGAUGUAUAAUUCAUUGGUGGAGAGAUGCUUUACCGACUGCGUAGACACCUUUUAUCGCAAAGCGCUGACGAAGCAAGAGGAUACGUGCGUUCGUAGGUGCGCUGAGAAGUUCCUCAAGCACUCGAUGCGCGUUGGCAUGAGGUUUGCAGAGCUUAAUCAAGGAGCGGCUACUCAAGAUUAAGCUAAGCUCUAUGUAUGAAUCAUUUUUUGGUAUGGAAGGUCUUGGAAAUCUUUCGAGUCGGUUUACGGAAGUUGCAAUUUGUUUAGCCUUGAUUCUAGAAUUGUGUUUCUUACACUGAUUAGAUUCGUACAUUUUCAAAAGAAAAAAAAUAUUCAUGGUGAGGUUUUACAGUUAGCUGGAACUGGAUAUGAAUUGGUUAUGAUUUAUGAUUUUGCCCUUUUAUUCGCGUAUCAUAUCUGGUGUGGUAAAUUCGUUGUGUACACGUAGACUGUGAUUGAAAGUUUAGGAGGAACGGCUCCUUGCCUCUGCAGCAUUGCAAGUGUAGAGAUUGAGAUUGUGUAGUUUUGUUCAUUGAUGAAGUCCCGACUGCGAAAAAAUGAAUAUAGGAUUUGGGAUUGAUAGACUUUGAUGCAACCCUUCAUUCUUGGUAUACAGAUCCUUCCAUUCUUCCCCUUAAUUUAGAACUUGACUUCGGUUGGCAGUGAUCUUGAUAGUGAGGCAACCAAGUGAUUUAGAUUAGAUGAGAAGAAAAUUGGUUUGUAAAAUCACCGCCUUCUGAGCCUUUUCCCCUUUCUGCUAAGGAUGAUAAAGAUUACGAUGUGACUGUGAAAGUAUCUCAAGGACUAGAAAAGGAAAACUCGAAGGGAGAUUACCUAACAGUGAAUGAAGAAGUUGCCAGUUGGUCUCCCGGGCAUGGAGGUCCCUGCUUGAACUUGAUGAGCAAUUAGGCAGAAAUGUGAGCAAGCAGAUGCAGGGGAUUGAAUUGAACAUGCUGUGAUGCAGGCAAUUUUUUGCUUCGAUGAUUGUUUUGGAAUGCAGUUUUCUAGUGCUUGUUAUUUGGGAUUCAAUCAUGUAUAUUUUUACGUUGAGUUGUGUUAUUGAAGGAAGGAUGAAGGUUGUUCUUGGUAAAGAUUCCAUGAUGCUUUGUGGGGAAGUUGUUGGAUAUAAAGAUGUCAAAUGCUAG